rnacentral:rRNA from 1 species
GACGAACGCUGGCGGCGUGCUUAACACAUGCAAGUCGAACGGAAAGGCCUGCUUUCCCUUGUGGAUUGCGGGUACUCGAGUGGCGAACGGGUGAGUACCACGUGAGUCAUCUGCCCACCACUUGGGUAUAAGCCUGGGAAACUGGGUCUAAUUCUCGAUAGGACUGCAGGGUGGUGCCUGUGGUGGGAAUCGAUUUUCUAGUGGUUGGGGAUGAGCUCGCGGCAUAUUAGCUUGUUGGUGGGGUAUUGGCCUACCAAGGUGGCGACGGGUGGCCGGGCUGGGAGGGCGGACGGCGAGAUUGGGACUGCGAAACGGCACAGACACCUGGGGCAGGCAGCAGUGGGGGGUAGCGGUGGGGGAGCGGAAGCCUGGGGCAGCGGCGCCGCGUGGGGGAUGACGGCCUGCGGGUUGUGAACUCCGGUUGACAGCGGGGAAGCCAAGUGGUGGGGAGGGUGGUGACGGUAGUGGUAGAAGAAGCACCGGCUAACUACGUG